CUGAACGAUUAAUAGCCCGGCACUCAUCCCCAGUGACUAGUUUUACUUGGCCACAUUUUCUCGAGGACUGCCGCUGCUUCCACGGUGCAUCGCAUCACCGACAAAGGACACACCGCAUUUAAAAGUAAACCAGACAAAGAAGUAAUCACCCGCUAUUUAAUUACAAGCAAUUACCGAGUUUUUAAAACUAAUUGAGGACCAGAAUAAAAACGUGCGCACUGAUUAAACUUUAGAUUCAAAACGUAAUUUUUUAUAUAAAAUU